rnacentral:lncRNA from 1 species
UUAUGUGUUAUGUGUGAUAACGAAUUUGGAUUUCACGGAUAUUGAAACUAUGUGGUUGACCAAUCAUGUCGUAUGCGUGUUAGUGAAAGUCAAUGUAGAUAAGAGUUGGAAAAUGUGUGUUAAUAUGAAUGAGCAUGAAUACUAACAUUAUUAUGGCAUGACGGCAUGAAAGAAUAGGAACCACACUAGCAUGGACCAAGCAUGGAAGGCUAACGGGUCAAGAUGAGGCAAGCAAGCGGGUAUGAACACGGAUGCACAAGGUAAGUGAUUCCGUAAUCACUUCUUAGUUGUUUAUGUAAUGUUAUAUGCAAUUUAAUUAUAUGUGAUAAUUGAGGUCAAAUAGGAAUGAAUUGUAUGAUGUCAAUGAAUGUAUUAAACGGAUCUUAGUUUUAAUCCGAGCAAGGUAGGUGUGAUUAAGAAAUUGUAGCUAAGUAGUGGAAUUGGUUACUUAUCUAAGGAAUUCCUUUGUUAUUAAGGAUAGAGCAUAGUUGACUAAAAUGCCCUUGAUAGGUAUAUCGGGCAAACGACCUUAGAAGUCGUUUGGAAACGAGCUAUUCGAUUAGAGUAAUGUCUUGGACAAGUAUGAAAGCGAAGUAUAGGGUUUUGUAUGUCAUAGUCCACUUAAUGCGCAAAUACCCAUAACGGGUCAAAAAUAAGCCUUUGAGUGAAAAUGAGUUAAGAGGAUGCAAGACGUCCGAGAAUUUAAUCUUUUAUGAUAGGUGCCAAUGAAAUUAUUAAAGUUCGUAUGAGAUUGAGGUCAAAUAAACAGAUUAUGUUGAUAAAUGCACGAACGGGUCAAUUAGUUAGAAAAUGAUAAUAUAUCGAAUGCACGUAAGUUAAGAAUUUCCUUAAUCCGGAGGUAGGAUUUCAAGUUAAUAUGAUAGAAUGUGAAUUUACAAGCAUGUAGGAAGAAACGGGAGGUUAAACGGGUAAACGGUUUAAAAGUUAUGCGAGUUUUAGUGGGCGGUUUGUAGCUGCACCCGGAGUAUGGAACGCCGGGUUUGGGAGUAUGGAACGCCGGGCAGAAACCCAAACGCCCAUGCUUCACUGUCAAACGCUGGUUCCAUGUUAAAGUGAACGUCGGGGUGUUCCAAACAAGCCUAGAUCACUUUCCUUGAGUUCCUUUGAUGUGUGUAAAGCUCCAUGUGAUAGGUUUAUGAUCCGGAAUCAUCACGUAACCUUCCACCACUACCCUACAUGUAAAAAUGCAUCAAAGUAACAUGUCUCGAUACAAAUUUGAUGCUAAAACAUGUAAAUAUUAACCACUUAGGCGUACCAAAAGCAUAUGCAUCAGAUAUGUACGUAUGUAUGUAUGUAUGUAUGUAUAAAUAUGAUUGUAUGUAGAUAUGUAGGUGCAUAUGAUCAGACGUAUGAAUAUAUGAAUGCACGAAGUAGGAUUUAUCGUCUAUGAAAAGAAUGGGACAGGUAUGCAUGUAUACAUGGUUUCAAUACGUUUGAGAAUGAGAACGUCAGACUCUUGUAGAAUUGAAGCCGAACCUUGAAGCCUAACUCGGAACAAAGGAAUCCGAGAGGAUAGUCGAAUGAAUCAAAGUUUAUGUUAUCGAAUGUUAUAUGAUUUUUAAUUUGUAUUAGAUUAUUGUUGUAUGACGUUGCCAAUGACUAAUGGUUAAGUAGUAUGUGGCGUCCACAGGUACUACACGGAUUUCUUCUGCUGCUAAGGAAGUGAAGCGGACGUAGAUCGAGUCAAGAGCAAGGAUUGUACGGAUAGAUCGGUCACAUAGUUGAAGAAAGGAUACUGGAACGUCAAGUGGACAAGCUGGUGGUGAUUUGCGGUUGAAGGGUUUGCUCUAAAGGUGAUGAGGUGGAUCGUAUGGAUGACGGUCAAGCAACGUAGAAUGUUUUGU